CACUCUCGUUUUUCCUUUCCACAUUCUCUCACUCUCUCGUUCCUUCACUCCACCGUUCCAGAUCUUUCACUCCCCUCACUCCACCCGUUCCAGAUCUUUCACUCUUUCAUUCCAGUGAUUAAAGGCUUUGGACCAGUUCUCUCACUCUACAAGUGAUUAGAGUUUGUGUUUUUUUGCUUAUAUUGUUGUUGUUUCGACGAAUCUGUUUGUUCUCUCUAACUCUCUAACUUAAAAACUUGAUUUGUGCAUAAUAUUUGAUUACUUUGGGUUGAUCUUUGGAAACUGGAAUGUGACUUUUGCUACCCCUGCAUGAACCGUGAUUUUUGGAACUUAGUCCCUUCCUUAGCUUGGUCAUAAUGACAUUGGUCGACUUAGCCCAUGGCAAGCCUAGACAUGUUCCCUACAGAGAUUCAAGACUUACAUUUCUUCUCUAGGAUUCUCUAGGUGGGAACUCAAAAACAAUGAUCAUUGCAAAUGUCAGCCCAUCCAUUUGCUCUGCUAACGAAACACUAAGCACUCUGAAAUUUGCCCAGCGAGCCAAGCUCAUUCAAAACAAUGCAGAAGUGAAUGAAGAUGCUUUUGGUGACAUAAGUGCACUGCAGUGGCAAAUCCAACAGCUGAAGGCAUUGGAAUAAGAGUUUCAAAAUUAUUGAUGUUUUCACAAUUCAUACUAAAUCAUAGGAAUGACUUAUAUAUACUGAACUGGAGCAGGGUCAACUAUCCUUUCUGACAAAGAAUAAAGUUUUUCCACCACUGGUAUCAAAUUUGGAGCCAAAUUCUGAUAGUUGCAGGUUGAGCGAAGCAUCAGAAGAACACGAUUCUAUGGGAGAAAGAACGACGGCAGAUGGCAAGCUGCAUACUCCAAACAAAGAGAUUAAACGCAUGAAAGCUGCUUUGGUUGGAGCCUUGAGGAGAGAAAAAAUGCCCGAGACUACAAUCCAGAAUUUAAACAUUGAAAUUGAUCGCAUGAAAUGCUUGGUAUGCAUUGUUUUGGCUGAACAAUAGGUUGGUCAUGUGAGUAAGUUACAAUAUUUUCAAUAUCAUGAGCUGGUAAUAGUUGUAUCACAUUCUCUGUAGGCUCAACAAAAGGAAGAAGAUGCUCAACAUACUUCAAUUAUGUUGAAAAUAAUAAUAAUAAUAAUAACAAUGAUGAUCCGGGCAUUCUUAUUCUGCAAGUUCGUCUUCACUCCUUGCAUUUGUUUGUUUUCUGUCUUUCCUUUUUUUCAUCUUAAAAUGCUGUUUAUAUCUACCUUCUACAUGUUGCAGCUUCUAAUUGACAACAUCAGCAGGCCAGCAGCUCCAAAUAUCACUCACUACUUAAAUUUGAUCUAGACACAAAUCAAAUACAUGGUUUUAGUGCUGAUUCCACAUUAGUGCCACCACAAUUUGCCUGCCAAAUUUAUGUCUAAAGAAUUAAUUUGUUAGUUAUUACCCUAUGCACAAUUGCAAUUAUUGAUAAAUUUAAGCAGGUUGUUUCAAAGAUUAUAAGCCUGCUUAAUUCUCUUUUCUCGUAUAGUUUUCUUUGGUAUAAACAUGCACCAAAGAUUAACACAUUCAGACCAGUCUAUUGUGUUGGCAUAAAAGAACUGGCAUAUUGAACGUAAACUUUACGGAUACUGCUGUCAUUCUGGAAUCUUAGAUGAUUACAACAUGUUUUGUUUUUCAUCAUGUGCAUGAGUACUCUGAACAUUCUAUGAGUUACAUGUUCUGGCUUAUCUUUUUGGGGUAUUUCUCCAUUACAGGUUUGGCUCGAAUUGGAUCAAGACUGUCCGAGACUGAAGUGAAGCAACUUAUGGAAGCUGUAAGUCGUUACAAAUCCGUUACAAAAGCAUAACUAGUUGAACGCAUGACUAUUAUCUUAAACUCAACAAGAAUUGUCUUACUUGUGAGUGGAAAUAUGUUGCUUUCUAAUGGAGAAGACCAGACUCAGCUGCUGCCUUCAGAAACUGAAACUCAGGUUUCAAACUCUGAUUUAGUUGAAGGGUUAUUACCGGUUUCAAAAGUUUACACUGAUGUGGCUGUUGUUCCUAAGCAACAAAACAACGAGAUUCAACACUUGAUAUCCAAUUUACAAAGAGAGGUUGAGGAACUGAGGCUGAAGCAGAGAGUAGUGGAUGGAAAGAGGAGACAAGCAUUGAGUAAGAUAUUGGAUAUCAAAGGGAGCAUUAACUGUUUUGUAGGAUUCGACCGAAUCUUUCGAAAGAGAAGAGAAGAAAUUAUGAACCUGUAUCAGCUGAAUCAAAGAGAGUUCGAGUUAAGUUUGGUGGGACAAGGAAAGAGUAUGCGUUUGAUAAGGUUUUUCAUCAAGAUACAACUCAAGAAAGUGUUUUUGUUGAAGUGGAGCCAAUUCUAAGAUCUGCAAUGGACGGGCACAAUGUGUGCAUUUUCGCUUAUGGUCAAACCGGCACAGGCAAGACAUUCACCAUGGAUGGCACAAAUGAGCAGUUAUGGAUUAUUCCUCGAGCUAUUGAAGAACUCUUUCGUCAAGCGUCAAUGGAUGCUUCGUCCUCUUUUACUUUUUCAAUGAGACAUCUGAAUGAACCAAUCAUGUGCAGAUGUAAUAUGGACAGUCAACUGUUUGAUAUACUUUCAAAAGUUCUCUUGUUUCUCAUGUAUUUUGAGUUUUUGUAUAUGAUACAGUGGUUGUAAUUUAUUAAUUUCUUUUUAAGGUCUGUGUGGAA